GCGUCGGUGGCGUAGCGCACCGCAUGCAGCGCCUGCCCGUCGGAAAAGGCGGCGGUGAGUUUCAGCGCCGGUUCGAGGCCGGCGCGACGCG
rnacentral:tRNA from 1 species